rnacentral:lncRNA from 1 species
CUGUGUUAUAUUCAUCUUCCUCAAGUACUACAACACUGGUAGUUGUACACAUAUGAUGGUGAUUCGCUCCGGCCAUUCCAGUUUUGGCGGUGGUGGUGCUGCUGCUCCUAUGAUGGUAGACUUGUCUAAUUCCCCUAGCCGCAUCCAUGGUGAUGAAGCUCGGCCUAGGCUAGAACUGUUGGGGAACGUAGCAGAAAUUCAAAAAAAUUCCUACGUAACACCAAGAUCUAUCUAUGGAGAGACCAGCAACGAGUAGAAAGGGGAGUGCAUCUACAUACCAUUGUAGAUCGCUAAGCGGAAGCGUUCAAGUGAACGGGGUUGAUGGAGUCGUACUCGUUGUGAUUCAGAUCACCGAUGAUCAAGUGCCGAACGGACGGCACCUCUGCGUUCAACACACGUACAGCCCGGUGACGUCUCCCACGCCUUGAUCCAGCAAGGAGAGAGGGAGAGGUUGAGGAAGACUCCAUCCAGCAGCAGCACAACGGCGUGGUGGUGAUGGAGGAGCGUGGCAAUCCUGCAGGGCUUCGCCAAGCACCUACGGGAUAGGAGGAGGUGUCACGGGAGGGAGGGAGGCGCCAAGGGCUCAGGUAUGGAUGCCCUCCCUUCCCUCCACUAUAUAUAGGGGCAGGGGAGAGGGGGGAGGCGCAGCCUUGCCCCCUACUCCAAGAAAGGGGUGCGGCCAAGAGGGGGGGAGGAGUCCAUCCUCCCCAAGGCACCUCGGAGGUGCCUUCCCCCUCGAGGACUCUUCCCUCUAGGGUUCCCUAGGCGCAUGGGCUUCUUGGGGCUGGUGCCCUUGGCCCAUGUAGGCCAAGGCGCACCCCCUACAGCCCAUGUGGCCCCCCGAGGCAGGUGGCCCCACCCGGUGGGCCCCCGGGACCCUUCCGGUGGUCCCGGUACAAUACCGAUGACCCCGAAACUUGUCCCGAUGGCCGAAACAGGACUUCCUAUAUAUAAAUCUUUACCUCCGGACCAUUCCGGAACUCCUCGUGACGUCCGGGAUCUCAUCCGGGACUCCGAACAACAUUCGGUAACCACAUACAAGCUUCCUUUAUAACCCUAGCGUCAUCGAACCUUAAGUGUGUAGACCCUACGGGUUCGGGAGACAUGUAGACAUGACCGAGACGUUCUCCGGUCAAUAACCAACAGCGGGAUAUGGAUACCCAUGAUGGCUCCCACAUGUUCCACGAUGAUCUCAUCGGAUGAACCACGAUGUCAAGGACUCAAUCGAUCCCGUAUUCAAUUCCCUUUGUCUAUCGGUAUGUUACUUGCCCGAGAUUCGAUCGUCGGUAUACCGAUACCUUGUUCAAUCUCGUUACCGGCAAGUCUCUUUACUCGUUCCGUAACACAUCAUCCCGUGAUCAACUCCUUGGUCACAUUUGCGCAAAUGAUGAUGUCCUACCGAGUGGGCCCAGAGAUACCUCUCCGUUUACACGGAGUGACAAAUUCCAGUCUCGAUCCGCAUAAAACAAUAGAUACUUUCGGAGAUACCUGUAGUGCACCUUUAUAGUCACCCAGUUACGUUGUGACGUUUGAUACACCCAAAGCACUCCUACGGUAUCCAGGAGUUACAUGAUCUCAUGGUCAAAGGAAGAGAUACUUGACAUUGGCAAAGCUCUAGCAAACGAACUACACGAUCUUUGUGCUAGUCUUAGGAUUGGGUCUUGUCCAUCACAUCAUUCUCCUAAUGAUGUGAUCCCGUUAUCAACGACAUCCAAUGUCCAUAGCCAGGAAACCAUGACUAUCUGUUGAUCACAACGAGCUAGUCAACUAGAGGCUCACUAGGGACAUAUUGUGGUCUAUGUAUUCACACGUGUAUUACGAUUUCCGGAUAAUACAGUUAUAGCAUGAAUAAAAGACAAUUAUCAUGAACAAGGAAAUAUAAUAAUAAUACUUUUAUUAUUGCCUCUAGGGCAUAUUUCAAACAGUCUCCCACUUGCACUAGAGUCAAUAAUCUAGUUCACAUCGCCAUGUGAUUAACACUCACAGGUCACAUCGCCAUGUGACUAAUACCCAAGAGUUUACUAGAGUCAGUAGUCUAGUUCACAUCACUAUGUGAUUAACACUCAAUGAGUUUUAUGUUUGAUCAUGUUGCUUGUGAGAGAGGUUUUAGUCAACGGGUCUGAACCUUUCAGAUCCGUGUGUGCUUUACAAAUCUCUAUGUCAUCUCCUAGAUGCAGCUACCACGCUCUAUUUGGAGCUAUUCCAAACAACUGUUCUACUUGGAGCUAUUCUAAAUUAUUGCUCCAUUAUAUGUAUCCGGUCUCUCUACUCAGAGCUAUCCGGAUAGGUGUCAAGCUUGCAUCGUCGUAACCUUUACGACGAACUCUUUUACCACCUCCAUAAUCGAGAAAAUACCUUAGUCCACUAGUUACUAAGGAUAACUUUGACCGCUGUCCUGUGAGCCAUUCUUGGAUCACUCUUGUACCCCUUGACUGACUCAUGGCAAGGCACACUUCAGGUGCGGUACACAGCAUAGCAUACUGAAGAGCCUACGUCUUAAGCAUAGGGGACGACCUUCGUCCUUUCUCUCUAUUCUGCCGUGGUCGAGCUUUAAGUCUUAACUUCGUACCUUACAACUCAGGCAAGAACUCCUUCUUUGACUGGUCCAUCUUGAACACCUUCAAGAUCAUGUCAAGGUAUGUGCUCAUUUGAAAGUAUUAUUAAGCAUUUUGAUCUAUCCUUAUAGAUCUUGAUGCUCAAUGUUCAAGUAGCUUAAUCCAGGUUUUCUAUUGAAAAACACCUUUCAAAUAACCCUAUAUGCUUUCUAGAAAUUCUACAUCAUUUCUGAUCAACAUAUACUCAUCAGAAAUUCUAUAGUGCUCCCACUCACUUCUUUGGAAAUACAAGUUUCUCAUAAACUUUGUACAAACCCAAAAUCUUUGAUCAUCAUCAAAGCAUUCAUUCCAACUCCGAGAUGCUCACUCCAGUCCUUAAAAGGAUCGCUGGAGCUAGCAUAUCUUUUAGCAUCCUUAGGAUCGACAAAACUUUUCUGAUUGUAUUGCUUACAACCUUUCCUUACGAAAACUAGUAAGGAAACUUGUCUUGACAUCCAUCUGCCAGAUUUCAUAAAUGCAGCUAAUGCUAACAUGAUUCCGACGGACUUUAAGCAUCGCUACGGAUGAGAAAAACUCAUCGUAGUCAACUCCUUGAACUUGUGAAAAACUUUUCGCCACAAGUCGAGCUUCAUGGAUGGUGACAUUACCAUCCGCGUCCGUCUUCUUCUUAAAAGAUCCAUUUAUCUCAAUGGCUUGCCGAUCAUCGGGCAAGUCCACCAAAGUCCAUGCUUUGUUCUGAUAUAUGGAUACUAUCUCGGAUUUCAUGGCUUCUAACCAUUUGUCGGAAUUCGGGCCCACCAUCGCUUCUCCAUAGCUCGUAGGUUCAUUGUUGUCCAGCAACAUGACCUUCAAGACAGGAUCACCUUACCACUCCGAAGUAGUACAUGUCCUUGUCGUCCUACGAGGUUUGGUAGUGACUUGAUCCGAAGUUUCAUGAUCAAUAUCAUAAGCUUCCACUUCAAUUGGUGUAGGUGCCACAGGAACAAUCUUCCUGUGCCCUGCCACACACUAGUUUAAGAGACGGUUCAAUAACCUCAUCAAGUUUCCACCAUCCUCCCACUCAAUUCUUUCGAGAGAAACCUUUCCUCGAGAAAGGACCCGAUUCUAGAAACAAUCCAUAUUGCUUUCGGAUCUGAAUUAGGAGGUAUACCCAACUGUUUUGGGUUUCCUAUGAAGAUGCAUUUUAUCCGCUUUGGGUUCGAGCUUAUCAACCUGAAACUUUUUCAUAUAAGCAUCGCAGCCCCAAACUUUUAAGAAACGACAACUUAGGUUUCUCUAAACCAUAAUUCAAACGGUGUCGUCUCAACGGAAUUACGUGGUGCCCUAUUUAAAGUGAAUGUGGUUGUCUCUAAUGCCUAACCCAUGAACGAUAGUGGUAAUUCGAUAAGAGACAUCAUGGUACGCACCAUAUCCAAUAGGGUGCAACUAUGAUGUUCGGACACACCAUCAUACUAUGGUGUUCCAGGCGGUAUUAAUUGCGAAACAAUUUCCACAAUGUCUUAAUUGUGUGCCAAAACUCGUAACUCAGAUAUUUAUCUCUAUGAUCAUAUCAUAGACAUUUUAUCCUCUUGUCACAAUGAUCUUCUACUUCACUCUGAAAUUACUUGAACCAUUCAAUAAUUCAGACUUGUGUUUCAUCAAGUAAAUAUUCUCAACAUCUACUCGAAUCAUCUGUGAAGUAAGAUCAUAACGAUAUUCACUGCAUGCCUCAGCACUCAUUGGAUUGGACACAUCAAAAUGUGUUACUUACAACAAGUUUCUAUCUUGUUCCAUCUUACUGAAACCGAGGCUUUUCAGUCAUCUUGCCCAUGUGGUAUGAUUUGCAUAUCUCAAGUGAUUCAAAAUCAAGUGAGUUCAAACGGUCCAUUUGCAUGGAGUUUCUUCAUGCAUAUAUACCAAUAGACAUGGUUCGCAUGUCUCAAACUUUUCAAAACGAGUGAGUCCAAAGAUCCAUCAACAUGGAGCUUCUUCAUGCGUUUUAUACCAUCAUGACUUACAUGGCAGUGCCACAAGUAAGUGGUACUAUCAUUACUAUCUUAUAUCUUUUGGCAUGAAAAUGUGUAUCCCUACAAUCAAGAUUCAAUAAACCAUUCCUUUAGGUGCAAGAGCACUUAUUCAGGUUUAAUACUAAUCUUGAUGGCAGAGGGAGCGUGCGAUGUUAGAUCAUAUCAAACUUGGAAACACUUCCAACACGUAUCGUCAGCUCACCUUUAGCUAGUCUCCGUUUUAUUCCGUAGCUUUUAUUUCGAGUUACUAACACUUAGCAACCUGAACCGGUAUCUAAUACCCUGGUGCUACUAGGAGUACUAGUAAAGUACACAUGUAUAUCCAAUAUACUUCUAUCGACCUUGCCAGCCUUCUCAUCUACCAAGUAUCUAGGGUAAUCUUGCUCCAGUGGUUGUUCCCCUUAUUACAGAAGCACUUAGUCUCGGGUUUGGGUUCAACCUUGGGUUUCUUCAUUGGUGCAUCAGCUGAUUUGCCGUUUCAUGAAGUAUCCCUUCUUUCCCUUGCCCUUCUUGAAACUAGUGGUUUCAUCAACCAUCAACAAUUGAUGCUCCUUCUUGAUUUCUACUUUCGCGGUGUCAAACAAUGCGAAUAUUUCAAGGAUCAUCAUAUCUAUCCCUGAUAUGUUAUAGUUCAUCACGAAGCUCUAGCAGCUUGGUGGUAAUGACUUUGGAGAAACUAUCACUAUUUCAUCUGGAAGAUCAACUCCCACUUGAUUCAAGUGAUUGUUGUACUCAGACAAUCUGAGCACAAGCUCAACAAUUGAGCUUCUCUCCUCAGUUUGCAGGCUAAGAAAAAUCGUCGGAGGUCUCAAACCUCUUGACGUGGGCACGAGCCUGAAAUCCUAAUUUCAGCCCUCGAAACAUCUCAUAUGUUCCGCGACGUUUCGAAAAUGUCUUUGGUGCCUCUACUUAAACCAUUUAACUGAACUAUCACGUAGUUAUCAAAACGUGUAUGUCCGAUGUUCGCAACAUCGACAAAAGACGUUGGGGUUCAGCACACUGAGCGGUGCAUUAAGGACAUAAGCUUUCUACUGAUCGCAUAAUCGCUACUAUCAACUUUCAACUAUAUUUUCUCUAGGAACAUAUCUAAAACAGUAGAACUAUAGCGUGAGCGACAUAAUUUGCAAAAGGUCUUUUGACUAUGUUCAGGAUAAUUAAGUUCAUCUUAUGAACUCCCACUCAGAUAGACAUCCCUCUGGUCAUCUAAGUGAUUACAUGAUCCGAGUCAACUAGGCCGUGUCCGAUCAUCACGUGAGACGGACUAGUCAUCAUCGGUGAACAUCUUCAUGUUGAUCGUAUCUACUAUACGACUCAUGCUCGACCUUUCGGUCUCCGUGUUCCGAGGCCAUGUCUGCACAUGCUAGGCUCGUCAAGUUAACCCUAAGUGUUUUCGUUGUGUAAAACUGUCUUACACCCAUUGUAUGUGAACGUAAGAAUCCAUCACACCCGAUCAUCACGUGGUGCUUAGAAGCGACGAACUGUAGCAACGGUGCACAGUUAGGGGAGAACACUUCUUGAAAUUUUGUAAGGGAUCAUCUUAUUUACUACCGUCGUCCUAAGUAAACAAGAUGCAUAAACAUAAUAAACAUCACAUGCAAUUAUAUAGUUGUGACAUGAUAUGGCCAAUAUCAUAUAGCUCCAUUGAUCUCCAUCUUCGGGGCUCCAUGAUCAUCUUGUCACCGGCAUGACACCAUGAUCUCCAUCAUCAUGAUCUCCAUCAUCGUGUCUUCAUGAAGUUGUCACGCCAACGACUACUUCUACUUCUAUGGCUAACGCGUUUAGCAAUAAAGUAAAGUAAGUUACAUGGCGUUCUUCAAUGACACGCAGGUCAUACAAAAAAUAAAGACAACUCCUAUGGCUCCUGCCGGUUGUCAUACUCAUCGACAUGCAAGUCGUGAAUCCUAUUACAAGAACAUGAUCAAUCUCAUACAUCACAUAUCAUUCAUCUCAUCCUUUUGGCCAUAUCACAUCACAUAGCAUACCCUGCAAAAACAAGUUAGACGUCCUCUAAUUGUUGUUUGCAUGUUUUACGUGGCUGCUAUGGGUUUCUAGCAAGAACGUUUCUUACCUACGCAAAACCACAACGUGAUAUGCCAAUUGCUAUUUACCCUUCAUAAGGACCCUUUUCAUCGAAUCCGUUCCGACUAAAGUGGGAGAGACUGGCACCCGCUAGCCACCUUAUGCACCAAGUGCAUGUCAAUCGGUGGAACCUGUCUCACGUAAGCGUACGUGUAAGGUUGGUCCGGGCCGCUUCAUCCCACGAUGCCGCCGAAUCAAGAUAAGACUAGUAACGGCAAGCAUAUUGAACAAUAUCGACGCCCACAACUACUUUGUGUUCUACUCGUGCAAAGAAUCUACGCAAUAGACCUAGCUCAUGAUGCCACUGUUGGGGAACGUAGCAGAAAUUCAAAAAAUUUCCUACGUAACACCAAGAUCUAUCUAUGGAGAGACCAGCAACGAGUAGAAAGGGGAGUGCAUCUACAUACCCUUGUAGAUCGCUAAGCGGAAGCAUUCAAGUGAACGGGGUUGAUGGAGUCGUACUCGUCGUGAUUCAGAUCACCGAUGAUCAAGUGCCGAACGGACGGCACCUCCGCGUUCAACACACGUACAGCCCGGUGACGUCUCCCACGCCUUGAUCCAGCAAGGAGAGAGGGAGAGGUUGAGGAAGACUCCAUCCAGCAGCAGCACAACGGCGUGGUGGUGAUGGAGGAGCGUGGCAAUCCUGCAGGGCUUCGCCAAGCACCUACGGGAUAGGAGGAGGUGUCACGGGAGGGAGGGAGGCGCCAAGGGCUCAGGUAUGGAUGCCCUCCCUUCCCUCCACUAUAUAUAGGGGCAGGGGAGAGGGGGGAGGCGCAGCCUUGCCCCCUACUCCAAGAAAGGGGUGCGGCCAAGAGGGGGGGAGGAGUCCAUCCUCCCCAAGGCACCUCGGAGGUGCCUUCCCCCUCGAGGACUCUUCCCUCUAGGGUUCCCUAGGCGCAUGGGCUUCUUGGGGCUGGUGCCCUUGGCCCAUGUAGGCCAAGGCGCACCCCCUACAGCCCAUGUGGCCCCCCGGGGCAGGUGGCCCCACCCGGUGGGCCCCCGGGACCCUUCCGGUGGUCCCGGUACAAUACCGAUGACCCCGAAACUUGUCCCGAUGGCCAAAACAGGACUUCCUAUAUAUAAAUCUUUACCUCCAGACCAUUCCGGAACUCCUCAUGACGUCCGGGAUCUCAUCCGGGACUCCGAACAACAUUCGGUAACCACAUACAAGCUUCCUUUAUAACCCUAGCGUCAUCGAACCUUAAGUGUGUAGACCCUACGGGUUCGGGAGACAUGUAGACAUGACCGAGACGUUCUCCGGUCAAUAACCAACAGCGGGAUCUGGAUACCCAUGAUGGCUCCCACAUGUUCCACGAUGAUCUCAUCGGAUGAACCACGAUGUCAAGGACUCAAUCGAUCCCGUAUUCAAUUCCCUUUGUCUAUCGGUAUGUUACUUGCCCGAGAUUCGAUCGUCGGUAUACCGAUACCUUGUUCAAUCUCGUUACCGGCAAGUCUCUUUACUCGUUCCGUAACACAUCAUCCCGUGAUCAACUCCUUGGUCACAUUUGCGCAAAUGAUGAUGUCCUACCGAGUGGGCCCAGAGAUACCUCUCCGUUUACACGGAGUGACAAAUUCCAGUCUCGAUCCGCAUAAAACAAUAGAUACUUUCGGAGAUACCUGUAGUGCACCUUUAUAGUCACCCAGUUACGUUGUGAUGUUUGAUACACCCAAAGCACUCCUACGGUAUCCAGGAGUUACACGAUCUCAUGGUCAAAGGAAGAGAUACUUGACAUUGGCAAAGCUCUAGCAAACGAACUACACGAUCUUUGUGCUAGUCUUAGGAUUGGGUCUUGUCCAUCACAUCAUUCUCCUAAUGAUGUGAUCCCGUUAUCAACGACAUCCAAUGUCCAUAGCCAGGAAAUCGUGACCAUCUAUUGAUCAACGAGCUAGUCAACUAGAGGCUUACUAGGGACAUAUUGUGGUCUAUGUAUUCACACGUGUAUUACGAUUUCCGGAUAAUACAGUUAUAGCAUGAAUAAAAGACAAUUAUCAUGAACAAGGAAAUAUAAUAAUAAUACUUUUAUUAUUGCCUCUAGGGCAUAUUUCCAACAAGAACCCCCUCCAGUGAGCUCCUCAAGUCCUCUUAUACCCCUCCUACUUGCUUGUUGGUUCUAUGCUCUGCCUUUGUGAGGUGUAAUUGUUCAAUUUUGUUCAUAGUCGAGCAUUGGAUGAUAUUGUAUUUGUCAUGAUGUACAUGGUUCAUGAACUAUGCCAACCUGCAGCUUUGUUGUACUAGUGAUAGUAGGAUAAUGCAAGUUUUGACAAUCCAUGCAUAUUUCCGCAUCAUAAUAAUCUUCUUCUUCUAGUCUUCUUCUUCUAACUUUCUUCUUUCCCAUUUUACAAAUUUGCUUAAGACCACGGAAGCUUGGGUUGAUGGAGUGCUUGUAUUUAGUUUUUGUUUUGACCUUGUGAAACUUGCUACCUAUGGAUGAAACCGUGUAAUAUUGAUGAAACUAUGUAUAUGUACGAAUGAAACUUGCUAUUAUUGGUAACAUGUGUUGGAUAUAUAUGUGUUCAUGACUAUUGGUCAUAUGUGUUGAAUAUGCUAUAUUGGUCAUAUAA